UUUCUUUAUGGGGGAUUAUAAAGUAAGGCCUGCCCCCUGCUAGUUAAAGGGCCGCGGUAUUUUGACCGUGCAAAGGUAGCAUAAUCAUUAGUUUUUUAAUUGAAGACUGGAAUGAAUGGUUAAACGAAAGAUUGGCUGUCUCUAAAGGAAUAGAGAAUUUAAUGUUAUAGUGAAAAAGCUAUAAUAAAUAAAGGGGACGAGAAGACCCUAUAGAGCUUUAUAAAUUUAAGAUUAUAAAAUUGGUAAAUUUUUAAGUAAUAAAAAAUUUAUUGGAUUGGGGUGAUAUUAAAAUAAAUAAACUUUUUAAAUUAUAACAUUGUUAGUGAAAAUAAGAUCCUAAUAGGAAUUAAGAAUAAGUUACCUUAGGGAUAACAGCGUAAUUUUUUUGGAGAGUUCAAAUCGAUAAAAGGGUUUGCGACCUCGAUGUUGGAUUAGAAAAAUCUCGGGGGUAGUCUUUGGAGUGAGGGGUCUGUUCGACCUAUAAAUUUCUA
rnacentral:rRNA from 1 species